rnacentral:rRNA from 1 species
UGCUAAUACAUGCAAGUCGAGCGGACAGAAGGGAGCUUGCUCCCGGAUGUUAGCGGCGGACGGGUGAGUAACACGUGGGUAACCUGCCUGUAAGACUGGGAUAACUCCGGGAAACCGGAGCUAAUACCGGAUAGUUCCUUGAACCGCAUGGUUCAAGGAUGAAAGACGGUUUCGGCUGUCACUUACAGAUGGACCCGCGGCGCAUUAGCUAGUUGGUGAGGUAACGGCUCACCAAGGCGACGAUGCGUAGCCGACCUGAGAGGGUGAUCGGCCACACUGGGACUGAGACACGGCCCAGACUCCUACGGGAGGCAGCAGUAGGGAAUCUUCCGCAAUGGACGAAAGUCUGACGGAGCAACGCCGCGUGAGUGAUGAAGGUUUUCGGAUCGUAAAGCUCUGUUGUUAGGGAAGAACAAGUGCAAGAGUAACUGCUUGCACCUUGACGGUACCUAACCAGAAAGCCACGGCUAACUACGUGCCAGCAGCCGCGGUAAUACGUA